rnacentral:rRNA from 1 species
UAGGGAAUCUUCCGCAAUGGGCGAAAGCCUGACGGAGCAACGCCGCGUGAGUGAUGAAGGUCUUCGGAUCGUAAAACUCUGUUAUUAGGGAAGAACAAAUGUGUAAGUAACUAUGCACGUCUUGACGGUACCUAAUCAGAAAGCCACGGCUAACUACGUGCCAGCAGCCGCGGUAAUACGUAGGUGGCAAGCGUUAUCCGGUAUUAUUGGGCGUAAAGCGCGAGUAGGCGGUUUUUUAAAUCUGAUGGGAAAGUCAACGGCUCAACCGUGGAGGGUCAUUGGAAACUGGAAAACUGGAGUGCAGAAGAGGAAAGUGGAAUUCCAAGUGUAGCGGUGAAAUGCGGAGAGAUAUGGAGGAACUCCAGUGGCGAAGGCGACUUUCUGGUCUGUAACUGACGCUGAUGUGCGAAAGCGUGGGGAUCAAACAGG